rnacentral:tRNA from 1 species
AGGCCAAUAGCUCCAACUGGUAGAGCGCUGGUCUCCAAAACCAGAUGUUGAGGGUUCGAAUCCUUCUUGGCCUG